GCCCUCUGGCGCCACCGUGUGGGCAUUGCUGAGGACGACAAUUGAUGGAAAUCUGCGUUGCGCCCCCUGGCGGGAACUGCGGGAGAUUCAGCACUGGAAGGCCAAGCCCAGGUUGCAACCUCCGCCAUGAAGCUUUCCCUGCUCAUACCUGCUGAAGAUAAUCACUCUCCAGAUCCUCCCAGAUCAUUUUGCCUGAAACUCUCCUUCACUGCUCUCCUAUUCUACAUUCUGGAGUGCUUCCUUGUGUACAUGUCAUAAUUCUUCCUACCUGAAGACAAGCUACCUGAAGACUUGGAGCAACAUGCAACUCUCUGCUUCAUCCCCUUUCCUGCCCUGCCCAUCUCAACCACCAGGCUUCAAGGAACACAUGUAAAAUGAAUUUGAGUCAUCCAACCAGGUGUGGUGCCAACCUCUGCCCUUCUUCCCAUGUCUACGAAGUCAACAAAAAAAUACAAGCAAAUCCUAAAUGUUUACUUGGAGAUUGUGUUUUUAAAUACCAAAGACAAGGAUUGAGAACUUACCACUCUCUUUUCCCUGAA